GCAGGGAGCAGCUGCGAAGCAAUCCUAGUUGCCAUCAUUGGGGUGCUGGCAUAGUACUGGUCCUGCAGGUUUCUAACUUGUCAUCCUAGCUGGUAAUGUCUCCUGGUUUUUAUGGAAGGCUUAAUUGGAGAGUGUCUGAUGCCUGAAGGACUUUCCUGGUUGACAACCUUGAAAAUGGUGAAAGAAAGAAAUUGAAACCAGAUCUCACUGAGUGGGAAGGCCUCACUGAGCUGACCUGUGAAAAAAGACCUACAUGAAGUGAUAAGCAGAUAUCUGGGACAAGCAUUCCAGGCACAGGGAACAGCAUGUGCAAAACCCUGGAGACAAGAGUAUUCCUGGAGUGUGAAAGGACUACAAGUUCUCUGCUGUCAAAUGGAGAAAAACAAAAACAAGGGUCAGAGAGCUAUUUUUAUUGAAGAUCUCAAGAAGGACCAAGUCAUUCAUCAAGUGGAGCGGAUGUGGUCAGGAAAAAGGACUGGCCAGAGAAAAUCCAUCUGCAGAGCCUCAUCCUUAUUGGUCAUUUUUCCCCAAAAGACAUCCCAGGAUUCCUGUAUCCUCUGAAUGUGACCCAUCGCCACCUUCAUCAUCAGCCUCAUCAUCAUCAAUGUUUACUUAUUUUAACCAAUAGAUACACAAUAUAAAAUUCUUGGAUGAAGAAUAGCAUUUUUUGAACUCACCUUUAAUACAGAGAAGUAUGGAGAGGUUAAACAAAUAAAAGGAUAGGCUACAAUCUCAAUUUUGAUAAAUCAAUUUUUAAAAACCUGUCAAUGGUUAUAAAAUGCAAAUAUACAAAUAGGUAUAUUUGCAUAAUUUGUUUAUUUGCCGUCUGAUUGAUGGACACAUCCUACUUAUUUAUUUUUUGGUAUUACACAUUUUAUUGCUAUGAAUAUCCUCAAAUGAACAACUUGGUGAACUUUUAGACAUAUACCCAUAAGUUAAAGUCCUAGCACUGGGUUGGUUGAGUUAAAGGCUGCAUGCAUAAAAAUCAUGGUAGGUCAUAGUUACCCUUUAUUGAAUAACUAAUUUGGGCCAAGAAAAGUUUUAUAUGUUAUUUUUAAUCCUCACAACAAUCUUUCAAGGUCAUUGAUAGUAUUAGUGAUUACAGGUGAGGGUGAACUGAACUUCAGGGAGGAGGAGGCUGUUUUGACGAAUGCCUAUUAACCUCUGUAGGGAAGGCAUUAGGUUCAAGAGGCUGAAGAAGAGACCCAGAGCCAGAAAACGAGACUUGGGGUUUUAUUAGGGGAUCACAUGCAGGGGAGAGAGUCAAUGACAGUGGGCUGGACAAGAUAUCUGUAUGGUCUGGUGGCAGCAGGAUGGGUAGGAGAACCAAAGCUGCUUGCAAACAUCAUGCAGUUUAUACAGCAUUUUCACUAACACCCUCCCCUUAAUGACCUCCACCUCGCAAUGUCCAUUAAGGCUCCGGGCCUCAAUCCUCUGUAUGGCCCGUGUCCCACGGGAUGGGCUGGGAGCUCAGAUGUUACUCAUAGACAAGGAAUAAAUCUCUGGAUUGGCCACUCCUGGAUUCCAUAGCUGGGAGCACACAUUCAGAUGCAUCUGUCAUACAAGGUCAUUCAGACUACAGGGACCUCCCCCGACCCUAGGUAACAGAGCUGAAGAGUGGCUGAACUAGAAUUCAGUCCCGAGUCUUUCCAACUUGGAACUGACACAGUCAUCUGAAGGCUACAAAUAACGUUGAAGAGAAGAUCAUAAAGCUGGAGAAUCCUGGCCAUCUCUUAGUCCACACCUCACCCUUUCAGACGUGGCAGGGAGACCCUGAGAAGCUUAGUGUCUUGCCAAAGGCUAUAGAGGUAAGAUGGGACCGGGACCCUGCCUCCCAGGACAGCGACCUUUACAGUACACUAGUGGUUUUGUAUGUCUGGGGCCACAGAAGCCCUUUUUCCAAAAAAGCUUGUGUACAACGGCUAAGCUCAGGUUGCUCUGCUUGAAUCAUGGGAGGAAGCCCCAGAGCCUGCUUCUGUCUUGUUUUCUACUUUUCUCUCUCCCAAGGCAUUUCUGGGGAGCACGGUUUGAAAAACAUCCUUUUUAAUACUGUCUUUGAAUGAUUUUUUUGGUAUGAAAAUAAAUUUUUAAAGUGAAAUAAAAAAAAAAAAGAAAAACACUUGUCUAUAGCACAGCUAUCUCUGUGUGUGGGGUCCAUCAUUCUUUCUAGUUGCUUUGAGCAAACACAAAACCUCUAACUUCUUUUUUUAAAAUGGAAGACUUGGGGGCCACCCUUUGUGCUGUGGUUUCUUUGGCCUUAUCCCAUUGUCCAGGGGAGGCAUUGGUGAUGGAGCUUGUUCAUUUUUCUUGUGCUCAUUGGAUAUGCGAUCACAGAAGAUGUAUCUAGGACUCUGGAAGUCAUAGAAACUCACUAUUAUUAGUCUGAGAAAAAAAAUGGGGAAAGUAUAGGGAAGAAAAAAAUAAUCCAAACAUUGUUGGCUGGGUGUGGUGGCUCAUGCCUGUGAUCCUAGCACUUUGGAAGGCAGGAGGAUCAUUUGAAGCCAGGAGUUUGAGACCAGCAUGGGCAAUAUAGUGAGACUCUGUCUCUACAAAAAGUUAAAACGAAAUUGGCUGGGUGUGUUGGUGUGCACCUGUAGUCCCAGCUUCUCAGCAGACUGAGGUAGGAAGAUCCCUUGAGGCCAGGAGUUUGAGGCUGGAGUGAGCUAUGGUCACACCACUGCACUCCAGCCUAGGCGAGAGAGUGAGACCUUGUCUCUAAAACAACAGCAUGAGCAACAAUAACAACAACAACAAUGAAGUUCAUCUCCAAUUUCUUAUCCUGUCCUUCUCCAGCUGCCUCCCACCUGGGGUAGCCUCAGUGGAGAAGCACAGCUGCUAAACUAACAAGCGCAGUAAAGCUUCCUGGGCCGGAUGCGCCAUGAGAAGAUGGGUAAAAACAUUAGGAGCCAUGCACCCAUAAAGGAAACCAAACAGGAAAUUUGAUGUGAAUCAUCAGAAAGCACCCUGUAUGGAGAGAAGGCUGUGGGGCUUAGUCAAAGACAAAGCACAUGUUGUGUUGUUUAGGGAUAGUGGAUGGGAGAAAUCAUAUUAGCUGAAUCUAUAAUAAGAUAGAAACAUAGAGUGUCCAGAUUCUUGUAAAGCAGAUGGUAAAUGAAUUCUGCUCCUGGAGAAGGACAGUUUAAGGAAUUGGAGAUGAAUUUCAGCUUUAGGUACUAUAAGAAAAGGCCAUAUUGAUUCACAAGACAGUGAAGCCAGGUGUUCUGUUUCCAAGGGGCUGUGAAAGCCUUUGGCAGACUGUGUAGCUUCGGUUCAUUUUCUGUCCAUUUAUCCACUUAUUUCUGUGGCACCUGCCACGUGGGGGCUGAGAGGCAGUUAGCAUUAUUACACCUGCUGGCAGGCAAGAAUAAUUGGAGUUGCACAAAGAUAAGCAGGGUUCUGUUCAGUUAAGAGCAUCGUCUGAAGUGAGUGAGGCUGUCUGCACACUGGGGUGCUUUGUGGGGGUCCUAAGAGUGGUCUCUCUGAGACAGAUGGUCUCGUAGUCCCAAGUCACUACUCUAAUUGGUUUCUCCCGCGUAUGUAGGAGGUAACAGGGGAAGGUGGGAGCAGGUCAUUAAGAACCUGUCACACUGACUGCAAAGUUAGAGAGGCUGAACACUGAGGAGAGACUGGGGCUUGUUUUCUCCCAAAGGACACUUUGGAGGCAACACUCACUGCCUCUUGCUCACACCAGCUACCACUCUGAUCCUCAGAAAUCACAACUUUUUGCAAGCCCAUUGAUACAAGCUUGUGAUGCCAAUACAGGUUGUCAAGGUGGUUUUGAAGAUGUUCAAGUCAUAUCCCAUGAGGACAUUAACACGAGGUUUCAGUCUUAAGCAGAAGUUAGAGGAGAGAAAGAUCUAAGUGUGGUGAAAAGAGUAUUGGACAUUGGAGAGGUGGUGUUAAGGGUCCCUCUUGAUACUGGGCAUAGGAGUUAUCUUUUUAUCUCUUUCCUUUCCUGUAAUAUAAAGGCUCUGGUCCAGAAGAUCUCCGAGGCCAUUCCCAUCAAUACUGGUGGCAGGAAACUGUCUCCUCACUGCUCCCUUACACCCAUUCUCUCCCCUCUUAAGCCACCUUAUGUAGAGAUAAAUCUAACAUUAGUUGAGUGUCUACUAUUGCACUAUUCAAUAUAAUUUACAGAUACAAACUCAUUUAAUCCUCAUACAAUCCUAUGAGAUAGAUACUACUAUUUCUAUCUUGGGGAUGAAGGAGUUGAGGCACAGAGAAAUUAUGUAACUAGCUUAGGGUCACACAGCAAGGAAGUGGCUGAGUCAGGACAGAAGCAUUCUGUUUAAAAGUGUUAUGGCUAUUCAAAAUGGUCAAAGGACUUGAAUGGGUAUUUUCUCCAAAGAAAAUAUGCAAAUAGCCAACAAGCACAUGAAAAGAUGUUCAAUAUCUCUAGUCAUUAGGGAAAUGCAAAUCAAACCCACAAUGAGAUGCCAUAUCAUAUCCAUUAAAAUGCUAUUAUCACACACACACAAAAGGAGAAUAACAAGUGUGGUCAAGGACGUGGAGAAAUUGGGACGUUUGUGCUUUGCUGAUGGGAACGUAAAAUGAUGUGGCUACUGUGGAAGACAGUUGGGUAGUUCCUCAACAAGUGAAACACAGAAUUACCCUAUCGAUCCAGCAAUUCCACUCCUAGGCAUAUACCCCAAAGAACUGAAAUCGGGAACUCAAAUACUUGCACACCAGUAUGUACAGCAGCAUUAUUCACACUAUGCAAAACGUGGAAACAACCUAAAUGGCCACUGACAGAUGAAUGGAUAAACAAAAUGUAGUAUAUACAGACAAUGGGCUAUCACUCAGCCUUAAGAAGGAAUGAAGUUCUGACAUGCCACAACAUGAAUGAACCUUGAAAACAUGAUGCUAAGUGAAAUAAAUCAGACACCGAAGGACAAAUAUUGUAUGACUCCGCUUUUAUGAGGUACGUAGAAUAGUCAAACUCACAGAGACAGAAAGCAGACUGGUGGUUGCCAAGAAGUGAGAAGAGGGGAAAAUGGGGAAUUAGUGCUUAACGGCUACAGAGUUCCAGUCUGGGAUAAUAAAAAAGUUCUGAAGAUGGGUGGUGGUGAUGGUUGCACAACAUUGUGAAUCUACUUAAUGCCACUGAAUUGUAC
rnacentral:lncRNA from 1 species